AUUGUCAAAUUGUCUUCCAAAUAGUCAUACAAUUUACUAGCAGUCUGUGAGCCUUGGUAGUUUACUAUAUAUAGUCUUUAUCAGCAUGGGAAAUUAUAAACCACUUAAAUUCCUGCCAACCUGACAGAAGCAUAAUGCUUUUUGUAUUUAUUUGCAUUUCCCUGAUUUAUAAAUUUGAGUAUUUUUCCCCACAAAUUUAACCAUUGAUAUUUCUUUUUUUCUGAUAAUUGCCUUUUUCUCAUUCUUUGCUCACUUUUUAUAAUUUGUAUUAUGAAUGACUGAUACGGAUAUUGAUUAUUGGUUUGCAAUAUGUGCUGUCAAUGUUCUCUACUAAUGUAUGGGUUGUCUUUUUAUUUGUUUAUGAUAUCUUCUUCCAUAUAUAAGUUUGCCUCUACUGGAAGCUGUGGUCCAUACUUGUAAUCUCAGCAACUGGGGAUGUUGAGGCAGGAAGAUUGCAAGUUUGAGGAUAGCUUCAGUAAUUCAGCAAGGACCUAAGCAACUUAGCUAGAACUUGUCUCAAAAUUGAAAAAGAAUUUUUUUUUAAAAAAGCCGAAUAUGUAGCCCAAUGGUAAAAGCACUCUUGGGUUAAAUCCCCAAUAUCCUCCCACCAGAAGUUUGAAUCUUUAAUUCAAAUAUGUAAAUUGUUAUGGUUUUUUAGGAUUUGUACUAUUUUCAAGAUUCUGAAAAGUGUUCUAUGGAUAUUUUAGAAUUUAAAGUGUUUUAACUUUUAAAUGUGAAAUCCAGUAUGAAACUUGUUUUUAUGAUGAUCUGACAUGGGGAUCUUAUUGAAUGUACCCUAACUAUAUCUAUGAAUAUGGCAAUUAUGUCUCUAUAAAUGAUUUUAGAUGCCCCCCCUGCUUUUUUACAUAUGCAGUUUCUCAUGUGGGUUUAAUUUGGAUGUUAGUCUAUUGAUGUGCACAUCUGUUUCUAUGCCAGCGCUACAGUAUAUUAAUAGCUAUAGUUUAU
rnacentral:lncRNA from 1 species